ensembl:misc_RNA Metazoa_SRP Metazoan signal recognition particle RNA
GCUGGGCAUGGUGGCACAUGCCUGUAGUUCCAGCUACUUGGGAGGCUGAGGCAGGAGGAUCACUUGAACCCUGGAGGUCAAGGCUGCAGUGAACAGUGAUCACGCCACUGCACCCUAGCCUGGGUGAGAGAGUGAGACUCUGUCUCAA